rnacentral:rRNA from 1 species
UACGGAGGGUGCAAGCGUUAUCCGGAUUCACUGGGUUUAAAGGGUGCGUAGGCGGGUAAGUAAGUCCGUGGUGAAAUCUCUGAGCUUAACUCAGAAACUGCCGUGGAUACUAUUUGCCUUGAAUGUUGUGGAGGUGAGCGGAAUAUGUCAUGUAGCGGUGAAAUGCUUAGAUAUGACAUAGAACACCAAUUGCGAAGGCAGCUCACUACACAAUCAUUGACGCUGAGGCACGAAAGCGUGGGGAUCAAACAGG